GGGGGAAGGCAGGCAGCGUCCGAAAUUACCAGCGGAUCGCGGUCGAGCAGCCUUAGGCCCUCAGUCGAAGAGGUGAAGGGAGGCGGAGAGAGCGAGCGAGCGAGAGGUGGGUGUAGCGGUUGUCGGUCGUGGCGGAGGCGGCGGCGCCGCCGCCGAGCAGACUGCAGACACGUUCCACUUACGCAGCCGAGGAGAACCCCGAACACAAGACUACCACCCCCACCUCGGCGGCCGCGGCGGGAGCGCCUGCGGCUAGCCGCGCGCCGACCGCCGGGCGCCCCAGUCCGGCUCCUCCCAGAGGCGGUUCGCGAGGACCGGCGGGCCGACGCCGGCGAAGGCACGACGAGGCGGACGGGGGCUCCGGCCGCUGCCGCUCUCCCCGCGGUGGUUACCGCAGUAGCUCCCGUCUCACCUCCUCCGCCGGUCGGUGCGCCCGCAAAGGAACCGCCGCCGGGGCGGAGUCGGCCUAUGACUCCCCAACCGCCUCCCCUGCUUCCUCCAACCUCUACGUUAGCUGCGGCAGCAACAAAGUAGCCGUCGCACGUUGCCGCUGGAGGGAGUGCGGGGCGGAGUCGGCCUCUGCUACGGCCUCCUCUCCUUCCUCCCUUCUCUCUGUGUGUACCUGUCCCGGCCACAAAGGAGGCACCGCACGUUGCCACUGGAGGGCGUGCCGGACGGAGUCGGCCUCUGACUCCCCUACCACGUCGACUCCUUCCUCCCACCUCUCCGUGUGUACCUAUGACGGCUACAAGGGAGACACCGUUCAUUGUCGCUAGAAGGUGUGCGGGGCGGAGUCGGCCUCUGGUACCACCUCCACUCCUUCCUUCCACCUCUCCGCGUUGGUAGGUCGCCACCGCUACGGGCUCCAGUCCGUCUUUCGUCUCGCUAGCUCCACUACGGCGACCGCAAACGACGGGGCUUCUCAAAACGACAACGAAGACAGUUACCAAGGCAGCUCUUACCCCCUCUACCCCGACUCAGUAACGACUACCUCCCCUUGUCUCCGGACCCCUCACCAGCUAACCAGUCCCUCCUCCUACACCGACCGUUACCGUUACCGUCACACUACCUUUUGUCUUGCCCAUUACCACUUAACCUCUCUUUUCUCCUACCUGUACUAUGUCACUCUUUCUUCUCCACCAACUACAGACGACAUUUAGGGGGAGGGUUCUCCUCCCGGUAGAGUCGACAUGCGUUAAAAGGUGGACCGACACCCUCCCUACGACAAUGACCUUGACCGUCGCCUCAACUCCUUCCCAGUCAUAACCUUCGGUGCGGAUAGUCAAAGCGAUGGUCCCCGCGGAGACAUCACCUACGGAACUGGCGCCGAGGUCAAAGUCCAGUACCACGAAGGGGCCACCAGCACUCUCUACGAAGGUUACUCCUCCACGUUCCGUUUUCUCGUCUUCAACAUCCUCGCCCACUACCACUCCACUCUCCGUUUAAGCUACCUUGGAACGCCUUUCCAUGAGGAUUCUGAAUACACUCUUCAGCAAAACAACUACGUUUCUGUUUCCCGUUCGCUGGUUUCCUACAGCGCUACUUACUAUGUAACGCUCCUCUGCCGUGCGACUUUUUGUUCUUAAGUUCUCUACUACACGCGAGUUUAUCAUUGUGCUUCGUACCGCAACACUUCAACUUCUCAAUACCGUAUCCGUUCCUGAGAAACUAGUCCAGAAGAUUCCUCAGGUUCACACCUUUAGUACUAUACUGGUUAGUUUCACUUCUUUGGCUACUAAACUGGAAGUAAUCACUGUUCGAUUAACAUGUUCGUAACUACCGAGGUCUGUUUACGGGUACCUGUUUUCCUUCCUUCAGAUCACGAUCACGAAGGUUGAGAGAAUGAGGAUCCUUGUUCAGAGAAGGAGGAUUCUUUGGCUUCUUUUUCCUGCGAUGAGGUUCCUUUCUUAACGGGGGGUUUCACUGUGGAAGAUGUAGCCGGCACGUACUCUUUUAACUCGUACCUCUCAUGAGAACGAACCUUCUACUACUGUUGGGAUACCGUAAUCAACAGGUACUUUCCUUUCUUAACACACAGUGAGAGGGAGGAACACGAGGAAAACCCCUGGUUUCACAACUACGAGCUUCGUUUCAAUCCUUCAACGAGUUCAACAAGGUCAACUAUACAGCCUUCGAAUACGUUCGGCUCCUUGUUGUUAAUGCAUUACAACCUUCCUAACUGGAACUCCGGCAACUUCAAGAUUUCUUCAUACUACCUAUAAGAUUUGGGCUACGAUAGCACCCGUCACAAGGGCCACAACAACAACCACUACUUAAAGUAAAAUCUCAACUCAACAGCUAUCAACCUGAUGUAUCCUAUAUGGUUCCACCGUAACUGAGGCGGUAACACCUACCAUGGGCGUAACGUUAUUCGUAACAGCGAAGGCCACCCAUAGGGCUACUCAACAGAUCGAGCCUGCUCAAUUAUAUAUGGCCGAGGCCUCCAUUUCGGUGGCCGUUCUUCCUCCGUCUCCUAGUUUUCGAAUUCCCACCAUUAGAACGGAACUUCUUAACGUAGUUUUGAUUCUGAGGCCAGGCUCACUAAGUACCCAAGUUUCCAGUUUCAUCUUCACUUCAGCCCGUAAGAUUUAGGUUCGUUUAUAGCUGUAUGUGAAUACUACCCAAUAUACACCACCACCUAACAACCGUUCUUCCUCGUUCACCGAGCUACCAGAAGUUCAUGUUCAAUUUUUCCUAGGGCCCAGUUGGACUUGAUCGAAAUGUGUAUCAGUUCCUUUGUUCCUACAGAUUUCAAGCAUUUCCAGAAGCGACAGGACUAUAUAGAGAUCUCUUUCUUUCCUAAGGGUAUACACACUAGUUGUGUUAACUACUGCGCGUCGGUUGUGGUAAACUCAUAUAGUGGUUUCAGUAUAUAGGUGGCAGCAUACGUUUUCUUGGAGGCGUGCCGACACUAACGUGGCUGCCAACGAGCCUGAGAUCAUCUACACGAACACGUCACUUCUUACCUCCUCUUUAGGGUAAGUUAAAAUUACCACGUUAACAAGUGCGUUUCGGCGAGUAUAUACUCACACCGGGUAGAACGUCCACGGGAGGUUGUACGGUGUUAUCCCGCUCGGUCGUACCAUAGUUUUAAGGCGACCUUUAUAAGUUCUGACCCCUCUGUCCAACCCCACAUUCUAGAGAGUCAAGAUAGAGAAGUCCGUCAAAGUAUACGCUCAUACGUCCACUCGAUAACGUUCUAUGUCUUCGACUUUUCUAUCUCUUGCUACUCAUGGACAAACUAUAACCAGUAUUGAUGCUACUACUUCUUGAAACCUUCCCCGAAGGUAGAUACUAAGGUCCAAAUCUUAGAAGAUGGAGACUCUGUUACGUCCUCCGACACCCGAAGUGUUAUCUACGACGUUUCACGCCAUUGCAGCCUUCUAAGUAGUUGGUAUCGACGAGGGGUUUGGACAUACGUGUUUUACAGGAGACCCUGGUACUACUGUUCUCCUACGGCGUGUAAUACAAAAAACGACGGCUCUUGUAAGGAGGCGAAGUUCUCGACUGAAUGGUGAUGUUAAUAUGUUAUCCAGUUCAGGCACUGUUCUUACCACACCUCUUUCAUUUCCUCACGAACACACCAAGCCGACUAACGACAGUGUCCGAAAUGAUUCAAUAACCAAAAGCCACUGACCACUACAAUUACAAGCAUAGGCUACCUUUAGUCAGGAUAUUACCGUCACGAGUGAGCGAAAUGGAAGACCACUGGAACGUGAGCGACUGUUGUACAUCACAAAUAAAAGACACGGUCAACUUGAUAAUAAACAAUGACGUAAAACUUCUUGUAUAUUCGAGGUUAUCGAGUGGGAAAAACCCACAAACCCUCUGAAACUUUCUCAUCAUACUUCACAGGUCUUAGUUCGUAAAACCGCAACGUGUAAGAGGACAACCUUAGAAGUGUACCUGGUCCUCCUAUGUUUAUACGUUACUAAUCGAACAAACCUCGAAACGUGACUUGUACAAUGAUCAUCAUCCUGAUUUCUACCACCGAUGUUCACGGGCCUCGACGCAGCUGAAGGUCAACGCUACGGCCCCUGUCUGAUCUACUAUUUAACGAAGACGUUUCCUGACGGGGCGUAGUAAAACGAGUUGACACCUAGCGUUCCGACAUCGUUCGACGGCUAACUUCAACACCCAAGUAUGGGGAAAAAAACGGAAAUAUUUUUACUUAAAACACCUAGGUUAUCACUCGACGGGAUAGAAUUUCUCAACGUCGAGAAGGACGUACAUUUCAAAAGUCACAACCAAACCUGGUAGUCUAUCUGAACGACCUCAACAAAGAGUCUACGAUGGUACGUUGAAGUCCUUUAUAUCUUGUAAGGAUGACAAGGGUGU
rnacentral:rRNA from 1 species